rnacentral:rRNA from 1 species
UUUGGUGAACGAAUAGCAAAGAGGAUACACCUGUUCCCCAUCCCGAACCACAGUAGUUAAGCUCUUUAGCGCCGAUGGUAGUUGGGGGUCGUCCCCCUGUGAGAGUAGGACGUUGCCAAGC